rnacentral:misc_RNA from 1 species
AAGUCGUAACAAGGUUUCCGUAGGUGAACCUGCGGAAGGAUCAUUACUGAGUUGGGUAUUUGCGGAAGCAAAUGCCGAGUGCUGAGUGGCUGCGUAAGCAGUCACUCACAUAUGCCCGCUCCCGCGAGGGAGUAGGAUCUGGAGUUGAUGUAGAGUGCGGUAUGUGAAGCAGCAUUGAUUUGCAAGAGUCAAUGCUGCCUUCGCCUUCGCCUUUGCAUUGGCUUCAAAAUACCUUUUUUAUUUUAGUCAUCACACACUUUUAAAUUACAAUGACUUUUAACAAUGGAUCUCUGGGCUCCU